GACAUCAGGAGGUUAGUGCAAUGGCAUAAGCCAGCUUGACUGCGAGCGUGACGGCGCGAGCAGGUGCGAAAGCAGGUCAUAGUGAUCCGGUGGUUCUGAAUGGAAGGGCCAUCGCUCAACGGAUAAAAGGUACUCCGGGGAUAACAGGCUGAUACCGCCCAAGAGUUCAUAUCGACGGCGGUGUUUGGCACCUCGAUGUCGGCUCAUCACAUCCUGGGGCUGAAGUAGGUCCCAAGGGUAUGGCUGUUCGCCAUUUAAAGUGGUACGCGAGCUGGGUUUAGAACGUCGUGAGACAGUUCGGUCCCUAUCUGCCGUGGGCGCUGGAGAACUGAGGGGGGCUGCUCCUAGUACGAGAGGACCGGAGUGGACGCAUCACUGGUGUUCGGGUUGUCAUGCCAAUGGCACUGCCCGGUAGCUAAAUGCGGAAGAGAUAAGUGCUGAAAGCAUCUAAGCACGAAACUUGCCCCGAGAUGAGUUCUCCCUGAGACUUUAG
rnacentral:rRNA from 2 species